GACGAACGCUGGCGGCGUGCCUAAUACAUGCAAGUUGAGCGCUGAAGGUUGGUACUUGUACCCACUGGAUGAGCAGCGAACGGGUGAGUAACGCGUGGGGAAUCUGCCUUUGAGCGGGGGACAACAUUUGGAAACGAAUGCUAAUACCGCAUAAAAACUUUAAACACAAGUUUUAAGUUUGAAAGAUGCAAUUGCAUCACUCAAAGAUGAUCCCGCGUUGUAUUAGCUAGUUGGUGAGGUAAAGGCUCACCAAGGCGAUGAUACAUAGCCGACCUGAGAGGGUGAUCGGCCACAUUGGGACUGAGACACGGCCCAAACUCCUACGGGAGGGAGCAGUAGGGAAUCUUCGGAAAUGGACGAAAGUCUGACCGAGCAACGCCGCGUGAGUGAAGAAGGGUUUCGGAUCGUAAAACUCUGUUGGUAGAGAAGAACGUUGGUGAGAGUGGAAAGCUCAUCAAGUGACGGUAACUACCCAGAAAGGGACGGCUAACUACGUG
rnacentral:rRNA from 1 species